rnacentral:lncRNA from 1 species
CGGCUCGGGACUGGGCUCGGCUGGAAGCAGCGAGGGUCAGAGCGCCGCAGCAAGCGCCGAUCUCCCGGCUCGACCAUCCGCCUGCCGCCCGGACGCCUGGGCCGCGGAGUUUGUGUCCCGGCUCGGACCCCGGCGCCCAGCCCGGAGCCGUAACCUUGAGGCGGCGGCGGCGGGGCCGGGCCGGGCCGGGCUGGGGGGCGGUGGCGCUGGAUCCGCGGCUGCCCGAUCGUUGGCGGGAGAUGUCGAACCCCGGGACACGCAGGAACGGCUCCAGCAUCAAGAUCCGUCUGACAGAAUUCAAGGUCUAAAUUGACAUAUUUGGGAAGAGCAGGGUGUUGGGGAAACAGAACUGCUGAGAAGCUGCCAUUGAUGGUGAAAGACUUUAAUCUAAAUUUAGAUUCUCUUCAGAGGUUUCGUGGAAUACUUCCUUAAAUUAAGCCACAGACUGCAAAAGCUGCUGCUGAGUGGGGCUUCCAGUGUUAUGUGCCAAGAACCUUGCAAAGAAAGACUUCUUCAGGCUCCCUGACCCUUUUGCAAAGAUUGUCGUGGAUGGGUCUGGGCAGUGCCACUCAACCGACACUGUGAAAAACACAUUGGACCCAAAGUGGAACCAGCACUAUGAUCUAUAUGUUGGGAAAACGGAUUCGAUAACCAUUAGCGUGUGGAACCAUAAGAAAAUUCACAAGAAACAGGGAGCUGGCUUCCUGGGCUGUGUGCGGCUGCUCUCCAAUGCCAUCAGCAGAUUAAAAGAUACCGGAUACCAGCGUUUGGAUCUAUGCAAACUAAACCCCUCAGAUACUGAUGCAGUUCGUGGCCAGAUAGUGG